UACAGAGGUCUCAAGCGUUGUUCGGAUUCAUUGGGCGUAAAGGGUGUGUAGGUGGCGCCGUAAGUCGGGUGUGAAAUCUCGGAGCUUAACUCCGAAACUGCAUUCGAUACUGCCGUGCUUGGGGACUGGAGAGGAGACUGGAAUUUACGGUGUAGCGGUGAAAUGCGUAGAUAUCGUAAGGAAGACCAGUGGCGAAGGCGGGUCUCUGGACAGUUCCUGACGCUGAGGCACGAAGGCCAGGGGAGCAAACGGG
rnacentral:rRNA from 1 species